rnacentral:rRNA from 1 species
UACGGAGGGUGCAAACGUUGCUCGGAAUCAUUGGGCGUAAAGCGCACGUAGGCGGCCUGUUAAGUCGGGUGUGAAAGCCCUGGGCUCAACCCAGGAAGUGCACUCGAAACUGGCGGGCUUGAAUAUGGAAGAGGGUCGCGGAAUUCCCGGUGUAGAGGUGAAAUUCGUAGAUAUCGGGAGGAACACCAGUGGCGAAGGCGGCGACC